AGAUUAAACUAAAGAGUUUGAUCCUGGCUCAGAUUGAACGCUGGCGGCAUGCCUUACACAUGCAAGUCGAACGGCAGCACGGAGCUUGCUCUGGUGGCGAGUGGCGAACGGGUGAGUAAUAUAUCGGAACGUACCCUGGAGUGGGGGAUAACGUAGCGAAAGUUACGCUAAUACCGCAUACGAUC
rnacentral:rRNA from 1 species